rnacentral:rRNA from 1 species
UACGUAGGGGGCAAGCGUUGUCCGGAUUUAUUGGGCGUAAAGAGCGUGUAGGCGGCCAUUUAGGUCUGCUGUGAAAACUCGAGGCUUAACCUCGAGCUGUCGGCGGAAACCAUCUGGCUAGAGUCCGGAAGAGGAGAAUGGAAUUCCCGGUGUAGCGGUGAAAUGCGCAGAUAUCGGGAAGAACACCCGUGGCGAAGGCGGUUCUCUGGGACGGUACUGACGCUGAGACGCGAAAGCGUGGGGAGCGAACAGG